rnacentral:rRNA from 1 species
AGGGUUUGAUUAUGGCUCAGGACGAACGCUGGCGGCGUGCUUAACACAUGCAAGUCGAACGGAGCACCCUUGAAUGAGGUUUCGGCCAAAGGAAAGGAAUGCUUAGUGGCGGACUGGUGAGUAACGCGUGAGGAACCUGCCUUUCAGAGGGGGACAACAGCUGGAAACGGCUGCUAAUACCGCAUGACGCAUUCGGAUGGCAUCAUCUGAAUGCCAAAGAUUUAUCGCUGAAAGAUGGCCUCGCGUCUGAUUAGAUAGUUGGCGGGGUAACGGCCCACCAAGUCGACGAUCAGUAGCCGGACUGAGAGGUUGACCGGCCACAUUGGGACUGAGAUACGGCCCAG